UUUCCGUAGGUGAACCUGCGGAAGGAUCAUUAAUAAAUGGUCUACGUUUUUAAGUAGACGCUUAAUAAUCCUACCUUUGUGAAUUUGUUUGUUUGAAAUAAUUUUUUUUAAAAUUAUUGAAUGUCUUUCCUGUUGAAUUGGUUGUCUUUAAUGGCAAGUGAUUCGCAGGGAGUGUCAAUAAUUUUAAAAAGACCUUUUUUAAAAUUAAACUUUUUGUAUUCAUUUGUCUAAAAAUUAUUUUAUAAUAUAAAAACAACUUUUGACAAUGGAUCUCUUGGUUCUCGCAACGAUGAGAACGCAGCAAAAUGCGAUAAGUAGUGUGAAUUGCAGAAUACGUGAAUCAUCGAAUCUUCGAACGCAUAUUGCACUUUUUAGUUUACUAAAAAGUAUGUCUGUUGAGUAUCAGUAAAAUAUUCUCAUAAAAAACAUUGUUUUUAUGGUUAUGAGUGUUUUACAACGAUACAAGUUGUUUCACUUUAAAUUUUUUUAAAAUUUGAAUUUUUCUAAUUUUAAAAUAAAAUUGGAUAAAGUUUUCCCGUAAAAAGGAAUAACCUAAACAAUUUUAAUUUUUGAUUAGAAAUCCAAACUAAAAGGAAAAUUUAACUAAAUAACUUGAUCUCAAAUCAGAUAAGAGUACCGCUGAACUUAAGCAUAUCAAUAAGCGGAGGAAAAGAACUAACAAGGAUUCCUUAGUAACGGCGAGUGAAGCGGGAAGAGCUCAAAUUUGAAAUCUUCAAGGUUUUACCUUGACGAAUUGUAGUUUAAAGAAGUGUUUUCUGUUGAAGUUUGGUAAAAGUUCUUUGGAAUAGGACAUCAUAGAGGGUGAGAAUCCGUAUUUGACCAUUAUUUUCAGCUGUGUGAUACACUUUCAAAGAGUCGGAUGUUUGGGAAUGCAGUCCAAAAUGGUGGUAAAUUUCAUCUAAAGCUAAAUAUUGGCGAGAGACCGAUAGCGAACAAGUACCGUGAGGAAAGAUGAAAAGAACUUUGAAAAGAGAGUUAACAGUACGUGAAAUUGUCAAAAGGAAGCGUUUGACACCAGUGUUGUUUUCUCGAAAAUCAAUUAAAAAAGUUGGAUUUUGUGUUGUAUUGACCUUAACAGCUUGCUUCACUCUUUCCUGCUUUUUUAAUGCACUUUUCGUUUAACAAGUCAACAUCAGUUUCUUUUGUUGUAGAAGGGUCAUUGGAAGGUGGCUUUCUCUUCGGAGAAAGUGUUUAUAGCCUUUGAUCUCUGCAAUCGGAGAGACUGAGGUCUGCAGCGUAGAUCUUUCGGGUUAGAUACAUUUGUGCUAAGCUACAGCUUUUCAUAGACAACUUGUUGACUAUGUUAGUCUUGUGACUUACCGCUUAUGCUAUUUUACCUACGCUUAGGAUGUUGAA
rnacentral:misc_RNA from 1 species